rnacentral:rRNA from 1 species
CCUACGGGUGGCAGCAGUGAGGAAUAUUGGUCAAUGGCCGGGAGGCUGAACCAGCCAAGUCGCGUGAGGGAAGACGGCCCUACGGGUUGUAAACCUCUUUUGUCAGGGAGCAAGGUGCAGGUCGGGACCUGCUGUGAGAGUACCUGAAGAAAAAGCAUCGGCUAACUCCGUGCCAGCAGCCGCGGUAAUACGGAGGAUGCGAGCGUUAUCCGGAUUUAUUGGGUUUAAAGGGUGCGCAGGGGGAUGUACAAGUCAGCGGUAAAAUCGCGGGGCUCAACCCCGCUCCGCCGUUGAAACUGUGUGCCUUGAGUGCGCGAAGGGUAGGCGGAAUGCGUGGUGUAGCGGUGAAAUGCAUAGAUAUCACGAAGAACUCCGAUCGCGAAGGCAGCCUACCGGCGCGCAACUGACGCUCAUGCACGAAAGCGUGGGUAUCGAACAGGAUUAGAUACCCUAGUAGUC